GACGAACGCUGGCGGCGUGCUUAACACAUGCAAGUCGAACGGUGAAGGGGAGCUUGCUCCCCGGAUCAGUGGCGAACGGGUGAGUAACACGUGGGCAACCUGCCCCAGACUUCGGGAUAACGCUUCGAAAGAGGUGCUAAUACCGGAUACGAACUCCUUGGGCAUCCUGGGAGUUGGAAAGUUUUUCGGUCUGGGGUGGGCCCGCGGCCUAUCAGCUUGUUGGUGAGGUAACGGCUCACCAAGGCGACGACGGGUAGCCGGCCUGAGAGGGCGACCGGCCACACUGGGACUGGGACACGGCCCAGACUCCUACGGGAGGCAGCAGUGGGGAAUAUUGCGCAAUGGGCGAAAGCCUGACGCAGCAACGCCGCGUGAGGGAUGACGGCCUUCGGGUUGUAAACCUCUUUCAGCAGGGAAGAAGCGAAAGUGACGGUACCUGCAGAAGAAGCACCGGCUAACUACGUGCCAGCAGCCGCCGUAA
rnacentral:rRNA from 1 species